GGUCAUGUAGCUCAGCGGUAGAGCGUUGCAAGUGAAUUGCAAAGGCUGUAGGUUCGACUCCUACCAUGACCA